UGGACCAGUGAUGAGCAUCAUGGGGUUUCUGAAACAAAGACCUUGAUUAAACCCAUCUGAAACUCUGAGGUCCAU
rnacentral:snoRNA from 1 species